UACGUAGGGGGCUAGCGUUGUCCGGAAUCAUUGGGCGUAAAGAGCGUGUAGGCGGUCCGGUAAGUCGGUUGUGAAAGUCCAGGGCUCAACCCUGGGAUGCCGACCGAUACUGUCGGACUAGAGUUCGGAAGAGGCGAGUGGAAUUCCCGGUGUAGCGGUGAAAUGCGCAGAUAUCGGGAGGAACACCUAUGGCGAAGGCAGCUCGCUGGGACGUUACUGACGCUGAGACGCGAAAGCGUGGGGAGCAAACAGG
rnacentral:rRNA from 1 species